GUGAACUGAUAUUAUGUUAUUAUGAACAGUUAUCUUGUACAGUGUGUUUGUGUGUUUUGUCUAAUUACUAUAGUCAAACAGGAAGUGGGAUCUCCGUUGUGGCAUGCUGCUUGGCCUGCUGGGGUAGAAUAGGGUCCAAAGGGAGAGAACUUAGUUCUUAGUUCUUAGAUCUUAGUUAGUUCUUCGUGUGUGAACACAUGAUCUCUUCCCCUCGUUCUGUGUGUGUGAACACAUGAUCUCUUCCUCUCGUUCUGUGUGUGUGAACACAUGAUCUCUUCCUCUUGUUCUGUGUGUGUGAACACAUGAUCUCUUCCUCUCUUUCAUCUCCUUCACCUGUCUUUUGUUCCUUCCUUCCCUUUUUCCUUUUGAGCUCUUUAUCGAUUUGGACUGAGUUUUUGUCAUGAGGGUGCAAUUUGCAUAGGUCCAUAAAUAAAGCAAAGUGAUUUUUAAUCAAUGAAAUCAGUGCAGUGUUUGAAAAUUGAUUGCCAUAGCUAUACAAAUUAGUGCUGUCAAUCAAUGAAAUAGAAGAAACCAAUUCAAAAUGAUUCUUAUAAUAAUGAUGUAAAAUCACAGAAUGAAUGUAGAAUCAACACAAAUUAAGUAUAUUUAUAUUCAAAUACUAUUGUUUAAUAGUAUCUUUUGAACUUUGAACACAAGAUUUCUCCUGUUAACUACAGAUUUCCAAUAAAACCAUCAAGGCCUUGCAAUGACUGUAAAACAAAUGUCACCUACAGGUUAUGAUGGUGAUUCUUUUCUGAGCUGCUAUUGCAUUCCCACGGAAUAGUUUUGCAUACGCUCGCAAUACUUUUGUGUUCCUCCUACUGCUUGUGAAAGGGGACACCUAUGUGUUGUCUUGCAAUUAUAGUCCGCAAGUUUGAUAGACCCAUCAACAUAAUCAAUUUCUUUUGAUGUCUGUUGCAUUUGAUCUCCCACACAAACCCACCAUCUGCACACAACUGGGCAGCACUAUGGUCACAUCACUAUGUGAUCACCCUAACCCCCAUUUGAGGACAAGAAGACUUGCCAUUUCUGUUCCUCUUUCUCUUCCUGUUUUAUAUGGGUGGUUCAGUUUCAGUGAAGAUCAUAUGGACAGGAAACAAAUGAAAGGUGUUAUUACUGGUCAAGAGUAUAACUAGAGAUUUCCCAGUAAAAUUGCUUGACAACAUCAUUACACAGUGAUUGGGUGAAGUAGUAAGUAGCAAGGAACAUGAUCAGAGGAUUUCUCUUUCUCUCUUUCGUGGUUUCCACGGCAGCUUUCAGUGUUUUGAAAGAUGCCGUGUAUCAUUGUGCAAAUGGUCAAGAAACAACUCAGUCCAGUGAUGGCUUUGCAAAAUUCUUGGGGUGCGACCUGAAGAAUGAUUAUUUCAUCUUCGCAGGUUAAGUACACUCAAGUUGUGCAUUUUUCAGUAUCAGAUGAUCAUAACUUCCUUGCUUGUACAGAACACAUUUAACCUUUUGACUCAUUGUGCUGCAGAGGACAACUUAAAGGGCUCCCAACCAUUGGGGCCAAUGGUGAAUUAACUGAAACGCCCCGCCAUCUCCUUAUAAGGGCAUGCAACUGAAGAGACGUGUGUGCACAAUCCAAAGGCAACAGGAAAGCAACUUCAGACUGAUCAAAAUCAUGUCAAAGCGGAAAGCAAGCACCGGUCGAGUAAACGCAUACCUAACUUCACCGGUGUAGAGGUGGAGGUACUAUUGCAGAAUGUAGAUGUGUCCAUUCUAUUCCACUAUGGCUAUAUCCACGAGAUUGAGUUUAGAGCUUAUUUAUUUAUUCACUUACAUUUGCAGUGUUGGUGUAGUGCACCACGAUGCCUCGUAGAAUCAUGACUAUAAAUGUGAAACGUUAUUGUUAAUGAUACAAAUAUUCUCGUAUUUAUUUAUUAUUAUUAUUAUUAUUAUUAUUAUAAGUCUUAGUUAAGAACGAAUCCCAGAUGAGAAACUCUAGUAGCUGUUUGUCUGCUGCUGCUAGCAUUAGCUAAACUUGGCUCAACAGCACUUAUCAACAUUAUCAGAUUCACUUGAAACAUUAUCAGAAAUGUCUUCCACUUCCACGGACAAAUUCGUUGAUUGGAAAUAUUGUGUUACCUUAGGUAAUUUCUCCCUGAAAUUCCCAUCCUCCCUUUUCCUCUUUCUUUUCUCACUGCCACUUAGAAAUCGUUUCAUGCUUAACUUUGCGACCACACACGCAACCACACGACACAUUUUCCGUGACAGAAACGUCACGUGACGUGGAAUCAUUUGUUCCAUGAUGGAUUUAAGAUACAUUUCAGGCCGAUACAUAAAAUAAAAGAAUCGUGUUUUCAGGAUUAUUAUAAAUUGUCCUUCGUUUGCAGUAAGUAAGUAAGUAAGACUUUAUUUAUAUAGCACAUUUCGUACAAGAAUUGCAGUUCAAAGUGCUUUACAUAAAAUCAAUAAAAGCAAGCAGCAAGAGCAAUACAUGGAGUUAAAUAAUGAUUAAUAUCGUAUCAGAACCUGAUGUUCCGAUAGGCUUCUUGAAUUACUAAAAUCAUGAUAAAAGGUAUAAAAGGAAUAAAAGUAAUAAAACCCUUCUGAAAUAAUAAAAAUAGUGAAAGUUACAGUUAGUAUCAACCCCACAGAAAAUUAAUAAUAUUAAUAAAAUGCUUUGGUAAAAAGAUAGGUUUUAAGCUGCUUUUUGAAAGUGUCUAGCGUGACAAGUGAUUUAUUUUAAUUCUUAAAAAAAAAACUAUGACGAGGCCCCCCUGGUGGCCGAGGCCCUGGGCAACUGCCUGCCUUGCCCAAUGGAACGCACUGCCUCUGGUUAGUUCCAGUGUCCGUGCAGGGGAAUGCAGAGCUAAUGCAAUGAUGCCAACAAAGGAGCAGAAAAGAACACCAAUGAGAAUGCAUUUUCUUUGUAAAAAUCUCUCACUGCAACACCUUGUGUCUGACAACCCAUGCAAGAGAAAACACUGUUGAAGACUGUAAUGUCACGACCCUCACUAGGGUAUGAUGUCUCUUCUUUUUCCUCUUUCUCUCCCUCUGUUUCCCCUUCAGGCAAUAGUUUGUCAGGUACAGGGGAUGUGGUCCACCUGUUUGAUGUGAUUAGGCAUAUCCAAUAAAAGUCCCAGAACUCUGUGUUGGUUCAGGUGUACCCUGCGUGUUUAGGAGUCCUACACCAGACUUGAACUGUGCAGCCUCGAACAUGGGAGGUGGGCCUACAAGUAAGGAGGCUAAAGCCCAUGGGUGCUAGCGUCUAUCACUAGCGCAUUUCCUAAAGUGUUUGAAAGUGAGGUUUACUCAUGCACAGAACGGUACCUGCUGGCUGCUGUUACACUCGCUGUGAUGUUGAGAUACGCUGUCUGCGUAGUGACGUAAGCACCCACUAGUGGACAAGAGCAGUACAGUUCCGCCUGAUGUAUGAAGCAGAUGCAUGCAAGUGAUGUCCGUCAGUAAAGCAUCCAAAUCAAUCUAACUGUCUCGUUAUUGAACAAACAACAAUCGACACACGGAAACAUUACAGUGGCGACGAGGAUUCAAAUGGAUAUUCGCGUGAAGAAUAUUUAAAAAGGAAAGGAGAAAAACCGAUGCCGAACAGUCAACUCGCAACGUGAGUUUGAAAGCUAAAGGCUAGCCAACCAGUCAAUAACGUACAGUGGAUGUUAAGAAACUAGCAACGUAAAAAUGAUGAACUCUGCCAUAAGCCAUGCUGCUAUUCUGCCGUUCGAUACGGAGAUUGAUCCAACUUCAGUCGGAACGAGAUGGAGUAAGUGGAUCCAACACUUUGAAAACUUUCUAGUUGCAAUGAACAUUGUGAAUGAUGGAAGGAAAAGGGCGCUGCUUUUGCACUUAGCUGGGGAACGUGUUCAUGACAUAUACGACACGCUUGCCGGUGAAGAUGAUGAUUUUGAAACAACAAAAACGAAACUGGAUGGAUACUUCACCCCAAAGAAAAACACUCAAUAUCUUGUGUACAAGUUUAGAAAAGCCGCACAGGAACAAGGAGAAAAUCUGGACACAUAUCACACGAGGUUACGCAUGCUUUCCAGAGACUGUGAGUUUACCGAUGUGGACAGUGAGAUAAAAGCCCAGCUCAUCCAAAGCUGCACUUCCUCGAGACUCCCCCGGAGGGCGCUAAGAGAACCUGAAAUGACGCUGGAAACUCUGCUGAAUUUUGGGAGAACGCUAGAAAUAUCAGAGCAGCAGGCAGAGGGCAUUGAACAAGGUACAUCCACUGCUGUCAACGCAAUUGAACACAAAUAUAAACCACAAAUGAAUGAUCAGAGGGGAAACAAAAAUGCAAACAAAGACACAAUGCAGAAACUGUGGAGGGAGAUAUCUUCACAGAGGAAAUUGUCCAGCAAAAGGCAAGGACUGCAAUGUAUGUGGAAAACCAAACCAUUUCGCAAAGGUGUGCCGCUCAAACCAAAGAAAAUCAGCUCAAGACAGAAAGGUACGUCAUGAUCAUAACAAAGACACCCCAUAUGGACAACAGAAAAGCACAAGACGUGUAAAUCGAGUGACUGCAUCAGAGUGUGGUACACAAAGGGACUCAUCAAGCAGUGAUGAUCAGUAUGUGUUUUCAGUUAAUGGUGAAGCCUGCCCCAAACACCCCAGAACAUCUAUACUGCUCAAUGACGUGCAAGUUGAAGUGUUGAUCGACUCUGGAGCAGCAGUUAACAUAAUCAGUGAAAACAUAUACAAUAUGCUCAAGCCACAGCCAGAAAUGAAGGUUGCCAAUAUCAAAAUAUUUUCAUAUGGAUCCAAACAUGCUUUGCCUAUUAUGGGUGUUUUUGAGUGCUCUGUGAAAGCAAAGGACAGAAACACACAGGCAACUUUCUAUGUGCUGAAGGGCAGUGAACACUCUCUUUUGAGCUAUGACACAGCUAGCAAGCUUGGCCUAAUACAGAUUAUCAAUGCAGUGGACCCCACCAUUAGGAGUGUCUCAGACGAGUUGAUUGACAGUCAUCCUGAACUGUUCACUGGUAUAGGCAAGCUCAAAGAUUUCCGUGUGAAGCUACACAUCAAUCCUGAGGUACAGCCAACGUGUCAACCACACAGAAGGGUUCCUUUCCACGUCCGACAGAAGGUCGAAGAAGAACUACGAAAGCUGGAAGAAGACGACAUAAUUGAACGAGUGACCGGGCCAACACCCUGGGUUUCUCCAAUUGUUACCCCGCCGAAGCCUAAGGACCCCGAUCAAGUAGGGAUCUGUGUUGACAUGCGUCAAGCAAAUGUGGCAAUACAACGUGAACGUCACCUCACGCCCACAAUGGACGACGUGAUCCAUGAGCUAAACGGUGCACGGGUAUUUUCAAAAUUAGAUCUCAACAAAGGCUACCAUCAGCU
ensembl:lncRNA